rnacentral:rRNA from 1 species
UACGUAGGGGGCAAGCGUUGUCCGGAAUCAUUGGGCGUAAAGAGCGUGUGGGCGGCCCGGUAAGUCCGCUGUGAAAGUCCAGGGCUCAACCCUGGGAUGCCGGUGGAUACUGUCGGGCUCGAGUCCGGAAGAGGAGUGUGGAAUUCCUGGUGUAGCGGUGAAAUGCGCAGAUAUCAGGAGGAACACCCGUGGCGAAGGCGGCUCUCUGGGACGGUACUGACGCUGAGACGCGAAAGCGUGGGGAGCGAACAGG